GCCGGGCGCGGUGGCUCACGCCUGUAAUCCCAGCACUUAGGGAGGCUGAGGUGGGUGGAUCACCUGAGGUCAGGAGUUCAAGACCAGCCUGGCCAACAUGGUGAAACCCCAUCUCUA
rnacentral:SRP_RNA from 2 species